rnacentral:rRNA from 1 species
GACGAACGCUGGCGGCGUGCUUAACACAUGCAAGUCGAACGGAAAGGCCCUGCUUUUGUGGGGUGCUCGAGUGGCGAACGGGUGAGUAACACGUGAGUAACCUGCCCUUGACUUUGGGAUAACUUCAGGAGACUGGGGCGAAUACCGGAUAUGAUCUCCUGCUGCAUGGUGGGGGUUGGAAAGUUUCGGCGGUUGUGGCUGGACUCGCUGCUUAUCAGCUUGUUUGUGUGGUAGUUGCUUACAAAGGCUUUGACGGGUAGCCGGCCUGAGAGGGUGACCGGCCACAUUGGGACUGAGAUACGGACCAGAAUGCUACGGGCGGCAGCAGUCGGGAACAUUGCGCAGCGGGCGGACGCCUGAUGCAGCAACGUUGCGUGCGGGAUGACGGCCUUUGGGUUGUAAACCGAUUUCGAAUGUGACGAAGAGUGCGUGACGGUAAUGGGUCAAGAAGCACCGGCUAACUACGUG